rnacentral:rRNA from 1 species
GAAGGACGUUACUAACGACGAUAUGCUUUGGGUAGCUGUAAGUAAGCGUUGAUCCAGAGAUUUCCGAAUGGGGGAACCCAGCACGAGUUAUGUCGUGUUAUCGACAAGUGAAUUCAUAGCUUGUCAGAAGGCAGACCCGGAGAACUGAAACAUCUUAGUACCCGGAGGAAGAGAAAGAAAAUUCGAUUCCCUGAGUAGCGGCGAGCGAAACGGGAAGAGCCCAAACCAAUAAGCUUGCUUAUUGGGGUUGUAGGACACUCUAUACGGAGUUACAAAGGAAUAUGUUAGACGAAUCAUCUGGAAAGUUGAAUCAAAGAAGGUAAUAAUCCUGUAGUUGAAAACGUAUUCUCUCUUGAGUGGAUCCUGAGUACGACGGAGCACGUGAAAUUCCGUCGGAAUCUGGGAGGACCAUCUCCUAAGGCUAAAUACUCUCUAGUGACCGAUAGUGAACCAGUACCGUGAGGGAAAGGUGAAAAGUACCCCGGAAGGGGAGUGAAAGAGAACUUGAAACCGUGUGCUUACAAGUAGUCAGAGCCCGUUAAUGGGUGAUGGCGUGCCUUUUGUAGAAUGAACCGGCGAGUUACGAUCUGAUGCAAGGUUAAGCAGGAAAUGUGGAGCCGUAGCGAAAGCGAGUCUGAAUAGGGCGUUUAGUAUUUGGUCGUAGACCCGAAACCAGGUGAUCUACCCAUGGUCAGGUUGAAGUUCAGGUAACACUGAAUGGAGGACCGAACCGACUUACGUUGAAAAGUGAGCGGAUGAACUGUGGGUAGCGGAGAAAUUCCAAUCGAACUUGGAGAUAGCUGGUUCUCUCCGAAAUAGCUUUAGGGCUAGCCUCAAGUGAUGAUUAUUGGAGGUAGAGCACUGUUUGGACGAGGGGCCCCUCUCGGGUUACCGAAUUCAGACAAACUCCGAAUGCCAAUUAAUUUAACUUGGGAGUCAGAACAUGGGUGAUAAGGUCCGUGUUCGAAAGGGAAACAGCCCAGACCACCAGCUAAGGUCCCAAAAUAUAUGUUAAGUGGAAAAGGAUGUGGCGUUGCCCAGACAACUAGGAUGUUGGCUUAGAAGCAGCCAUCAUUUAAAGAGUGCGUAAUAGCUCACUAGUCGAGUGACACUGCGCCGAAAAUGUACCGGGGCUAAACAUAUUACCGAAGCUGUGGAUUGUCCUUUGGACAAUGGUAGGAGAGCGUUCUAAGGGCGUUGAAGCAUGAUCGCAAGGACAUGUGGAGCGCUUAGAAGUGAGAAUGCCGGUGUGAGUAGCGAAAGACGGGUGAGAAUCCCGUCCACCGAUUGACUAAGGUUUCCAGAGGAAGGCUCGUCCGCUCUGGGUUAGUCGGGUCCUAAGCUGAGGCCGACAGGCGUAGGCGAUGGAUAACAGGUUGAUAUUCCUGUACCACCUAACAUCGUUUUAAUCGAUGGGGGG